CCCCCGCUGCCCCGAGGCCAGGUGAGCCCAGGGGCACCCAGACCGUGCGCCAGGCUCCCGCCCAAGACGAGAGCUGGGUCAGCAGUGAUGUCCCAGAAGCCGCCGCCCCGACUGUGGCAGGCGCUGGGGUGCGCUGUAUGCACCCUGCAUAGGAGAGCGCUCCUGCUCUUGUCUUGGGUGGCCCCAGCCCAGGUGCUCGGGUGGCCUAGGACAGGGUGCGGGGGGUCCGACCCUCUCGGCCUGCGUAUUGCACUGGGGGCGUCAGCGCCUUCUCCCUGGAAAGGAACUGUUCUGUCUCUGUCGGACUCAACCCUGUGCCGGGCCAGCUCAGCCAAGGGUUCGGUGAGCCUGACUGACAACAAUUCCGUGUCAAGACUCAAGACAAAGACAAAGCAGGAAACCCCAGCCAGCUCUGCAAGGUGUGCCGCCCCGUCCCCCACCGCCUUGGCCUUCCCAUGUGGGGAGAGACUGUGCAACGACUUCACGGCGGUGGGACCCUCACAUUCGAUGUAGCCAGAACAGAGAUCGCUUCCCCAAACCCCCUCAGAGACUGUACAGAGACCCCUGCCCUGUGCCCCAGGCCUGCUGGUUUGUGCUGCCUCCUGGAGCAGGCCGCCGCCCUUCCCCAGGCAAGCACGUAAAGCAUUUCCCCUCAUCUGGGGUGGAUUGCACCCCAGUGCCCCAUCCAUUUUACACUGUCCUGUAUACUAUAUAACCCCCUGGCCCCUGUCACAGUAAGGACUGUUAACCUUGCCCCGGCCAGUGUGGCUCAGCUGGUUUCAUAAUGCUUCUAGAGAGCCGAAGCAGCGACCAGCUGGCUCUCUCCUGUUGCUCCUUCCACCCUAAAAGCAGUUCUAGUCCGGCUGGUGUGGCUCCAUUGGUUGAGCGACGUCCAGUGCACCAAGAGCCCCUGGUUCAGUUUCCAGGCAGG